AGAUUGAACGCUGGCGGCAUGCCUUACACAUGCAAGUCGAACGGCAGCACGGGAGCAAUCCUGGUGGCGAGUGGCGAACGGGUGAGUAAUACGUCGGAACGUGCCUAGUAGUGGGGGAUAGCCCGGCGAAAGCCGGAUUAAUACCGCAUACGACCUACGGGUGAAAGCGGGGGAUCGCAAGACCUCGCGCUAUUGGAGCGGCUGAUGUCAGAUUAGGUAGUUGGUAGGUAAAAGCCUACCAAGCCGACGAUCUGUAGCUGGUCUGAGAGGACGACCAGCCACACGUGGGACUGAGACACGGCCCAGACUCCUACGGGAGCAGCAGUGGGAAUUUGGACAAGUGGGCGCAAGCCUGAUCCAGCCAUCGCCGCGUGACGGGAACGAACGGGCCGUUACGGGUUAGUAAACCGUCGUUUUUGU
rnacentral:rRNA from 1 species